UACGUAGGUAGGCAAGCGUUGUCCGGAUUUACUGGGCGUAAAGAGCGCGCAGGCGGUCGAGUAAGUCGAAUGUGAAAGCCCCCGGCUUAACUGGGGAGGGUCAUUCGAUACUGUUCGACUUGAAGGCAGGAGAGGGCAGCAGAAUUCCCGGUGUAGUGGUGAAAUGCGUAGAUAUCGGGAGGAAUACCAGUGGCGAAGGCGGCUGCCUGGCCUGUUCUUGACGCUGAGGCGCGAAAGCUAGGGGAGCAAACGGG
rnacentral:rRNA from 1 species